UGCUUCCAUCUUUAUCUCUUUAUUCCAGCUGGACGUCUGGGAUUAUAUUAUCUUCUCCGUUACAUUUUGAACAUAUAUGGUCAGGGUAUUUGUGACCAAUUAGCUUGCAAUAUCUGGUUAAUAAUUCUGCCGAAAUAAAUCCUACUUUUAGUGCUCGUGUCGUAGGUCGUUCUUCUGGCUUAAGUAAUGAUAAAAUCCAUCUUUGGACUUCAUCCAUAUCUGCUUUCCUUAGC
rnacentral:lncRNA from 1 species